rnacentral:rRNA from 1 species
AUGCAAGUCGAGCGGAAACGAAGAGGUGCUUGCACCUUUGGCGUCGAGCGGCGGACGGGUGAGUAAUGCUUGGGAAUAUGCCUUAUGGUGGGGGACAACAGUUGGAAACGACUGCUAAUACCGCAUGAUGUCUACGGACCAAAGUGGGGGACCUUCGGGCCUCACGCCAUAAGAUUAGCCCAAGUGGGAUUAGCUAGUUGGUGAGGUAAUGGCUCACCAAGGCGACGAUCCCUAGCUGGUUUGAGAGGAUGAUCAGCCACACUGGGACUGAGACACGGCCCAGACUCCUACGGGAGGCAGCAGUGGGGAAUAUUGCACAAUGGGCGCAAGCCUGAUGCAGCCAUGCCGCGUGUGUGAAGAAGGCCUUCGGGUUGUAAAGCACUUUCAGUAAGGAGGAAAGGUUAAGUGUUAAUAGCACUUAGCUGUGACGUUACUUACAGAAGAAGCACCGGCUAACUCCGUGCCAGCAGCCGCGGUAAUACGGAGGGUGCGAGCGUUAAUCGGAAUUACUGCGCGUAAAGCGUACGCAGGCGGUUUGUUAAGCGAGAUGUGAAAGCCCCGGGCUC